rnacentral:lncRNA from 1 species
GGAUGUUUACCUUGGUCACAGGGGGAUGGGCCAUUACCAUUGUGACGUCGGCGCCCAUGGGUACUCUCCCUUUUCAAAACAUUUUGAAAGACAAUGCAACCGUCCCAAUGGAAUAUUAUUGAAGCCCUGGUUGAAAAAGCCCCUAAAGAUUUAUGUUAUACAACAUUUGACAUGUUUGAACGAACUCAUUCCUGACGACAAGUCAGACGCACACGGUACAUUUUCACUAGCCUUCGGAGCGCGCUAACACUAUUGGGACAUAAAUUAUUAACUUUUUUGAACAAAACUACAUUUGUAAUGGACCUGGGAUUCCUAGAAGUGCCUUCUAAUAAAGAUAAUCAAAGAGUUCCCAGUUGUUUUGAAAGCAUCAUAAAUCCUGAGAAUGCCAGACCUUGAUGACAAAAUUUGCCCAUGAAGCCCACCUUCCUGUUCAAGUGAGCACAGCACAACAGCACAACAAGGU